rnacentral:rRNA from 1 species
UACGAAGGGGGCUAGCGUUGUUCGGAUUCACUGGGCGUAAAGGGUGCGCAGGCGGUCGGGUGUGUCAGAUGUGAAAUCCCGGGGCUCAACCUCGGAACUGCGUCUGAAACUACUCGACUAGAGUACUGGAGAGGGUAACGGAAUUCACGGUGUAGCAGUGAAAUGCGUAGAUAUCGUGAGGAACACCAGAGGCGAAGGCGGUUACCUGGACAGUUACUGACGCUCAGGCACGAAAGCAUGGGGAGCAAAAGGG